AGCGAACGCUGGCGGCAGGCCUAACACAUGCAAGUCGAACGAACCCUUCGGGGUUCGUGGCGGACGGGUGAGUAACACGUGGGAACGUGCCUUUAGGUUCGGAAUAACUCAGGGAAACUUGUGCUAAUACCGAAUGUGCCCUUCGGGGGAAAGAUUUAUCGCCUUUAAAGCGGCCCGCGUCUGAUUAGCUAGUUGGUGAGGUAAUGGCAGACCAAGGCUACGAUCAGUAGCUGUUCUGAGAGGAUGACCAGCCACAUUGGGACUGGGACACGGCCCAAACUCCUACGGGAGGCAGCAGUGGGGAAUCUUGCGCAAUGGGCGAAAGCCUGACGCAUCCAUGCCGCGUGGAUGAUGAAGGUCUUAGGAUUGUAAAAUCCUUUCACCGGUGAAGAUAAUGACUGUAGCCGGAGAAGAAGCCCCGGCUAACUUCGUGCCAGCCGCCGCAGUAAUAC
rnacentral:rRNA from 1 species